rnacentral:rRNA from 1 species
UAGUCAUAUGCUUGUCUCAAAGAUUAAGCCAUGCAUGUCUAAGUAUAAGCAAUCUAUACGGUGAAACUGCGAAUGGCUCAUUAAAUCAGUUAUCGUUUAUUUGAUAGUACCUUACUACUUGGAUAACCGUGGUAAUUCUAGAGCUAAUACAUGCUAAAAACCCCGACUUCGGAAGGGGUGUAUUUAUUAGAUAAAAAACCAAUGCCCUUCGGGGCUCCUUGGUGAUUCAUAAUAACUUAACGAAUCGCAUGGCCUUGUGCCGGCGAUGGUUCAUUCAAAUUUCUGCCCUAUCAACUUUCGAUUGUAAGGUAGUGGCUUACAAUGGUUUCAACGGGUAACGGGGAAUUAGGGUUCUAUUCCGGAGAGGGAGCCUGAGAAACGGCUACCACAUCCAAGGAAGGCAGCAGGCGCGCAAAUUACCCAAUCCCGACACGGGGAGGUAGUGACAAUAAAUACUGAUACAGGGCUCUUUUGGGUCUUGUAAUUGGAAUGAGUACAAUUUAAAUCCCUUAACGAGGAACAAAUU